rnacentral:rRNA from 1 species
CACGUAGGGUGCGAGCGUUGUCCGGAAUUAUUGGGCGUAAAGAGCUCGUAGGCGGUUUGUCGCGUCUGCUGUGAAAACCUAAGGCUCAACCUUGGGCUUGCAGUGGGUACGGGCAGACUAGAGUGCGGUAGGGGUGACUGGAAUUCCUGGUGUAGCGGUGGAAUGCGCAGAUAUCAGGAGGAACACCGAUGGCGAAGGCAG